rnacentral:tRNA from 1 species
GAAAGAAGUAGCUUAACGAAAGCGUAACACUGAAAAUGUUAAAAUAGCCUUAAAACUCUCUCUCA